ensembl:lncRNA
GUUUUUAAACCAGUAAAUAGAAUGAUUAUUUAUAUGUUUACUACAUUUGGUUGCACAGCCUUUGGCCAAAAUAUUCAUGUUCAAGAACAUCUUGUAGUAAGUUAACGUUAAUGUGCUUUCAGUAUUUCUCUAACGUUACUGUCUGUUAAUAGGAAACACCGGACCUACCGGACCCUUUCUGGUUGGUUGUAGGCUAUAGAGGCACCUGUCAGGUAGGACUGGGCUAACGUUAUAUGAAAGAAAUUAAUAUCACAAGAAUCAUAAAGACAUAUCACAUUAUCUGCUCACCUCUAUUAAAUCACUUAACCUAUCAAUAACCUAAUCUGCAAUUUUCAGAUUAUAUUCCUUUGGAUAUUUCAAAUCAAAUUUAGAAAGAAAUGUGUUUAAUAUGUGCUUGAUAUUAUCAAUUUAGACAACAGAAUUGUGUAUCACAAUAUAUUCAAAAUGGGUCUUAAAUUUCAUUUUGAGUGGCAAUAAAGUCUUAAAUAUAACUUGCCUAACCCUGCAGAUACCUAAUAUUAGAAGUGUUUUUUGUCAGAAUACUGAUGUUAAAUGUUAGCUUAAUAACAGUUUCUGUCUGCCAGUCAUUUAUUGAUUGCUAAGCCAAACAAUGAUUUUUAUUUAUUUGAUAAUUUUAGAACACAUGGAGAGGAAGUUUGCAGUGGUGCGGUGGAGUGAAGGGGAGGAUUUUGGGAAGCUCAGUGACAUAAAAACUGAUGCCAUAAGGGGGUAUGAUGAUUCCAAGAUGGACCAGGAUGGGAAUNGCCACCUACUCAGCCGUAAUUGAAUGGCGCCAUGGGAGGAAACAAUGAGGAGGCUGGCCUCACUACAGAGGCACUGUCAUUUUUGUUGGUGCUACUCGUUUUGAGACAAUCCGUAAACUGAACUCACUGCUGAAGGAAGAAGAACCUACAGAGCUGACAAAGAGGGCCUCAGUGGCCCCCCAAAAAUAUGGGGACGAUUCAGAUUGCUAAACUGAUAUUGAAACUCAGUCUCAGCAAGCAAAGAAGUCAAAGGCUCCCAGGAGGAUAGACCCUGCAGAAGAGUUUCUUAGGCUAUACGGUCAAUCACAGCCUUCUUCAGAUAAUCACAACAGUCCGACUCAGACUGUGGCUGAAUUAAAGCAGGAGAUCAAGGACCUGAAAGAAGAGAACGCGAAGUUGAAGGAGAUUGUUCUUCAAGAUGUGCCAGGACUCCUACUGAGUUUGAGGAAUAUAAUAGAUUCGGCUGCACCUCCUAAGAGAUCCAGGGUGGAGCCUACCAAAGCAUUACCGGCCCUUCCAGGGUCUCCGCAGUCCAGGUCCAGUUCUCCAUGUGCCACUUCGCUGUCCCUCCCCAGAUCUACGCUGUCCAGUUCCACAUCUGUGUCUCCAUCCCUGACUGCCUCCCAGUCUUCUAAGGUAAUUGUUUUUUAAAGAAUAAAUAAAUACAGCAUAUAAAAUAGAUCUACUGC